AUUGAACGCUGGCGGCAGGCCUAACACAUGCAAGUCGAGCGAGAGGCGGACGGGUGAGUAAUGUAUGGGGACCUGCCUGAUAGAGGGGGAUAACUACUGGAAACGGUGGCUAAUACCGCAUACGAUCGGAUGAACCCAGAUUGGAUUAGCUAGUUGGGGGGGUAACGGCUCACCAAGGCGACGAUCCCUAGCAGGUCUGAGAGGAUGAACAGCCACACUGGGACUGCGACACGGCCCAGACUCCUACGGGAGGCAGCAGUGGGGAAUAUUGCACAAUGGGCGAACGCCUGAUGCAGCCAUGCCGCGUGUAUGAAGAAGGCCUUAGGUUUGUAAAGUACUUUCAGCGGGGAGGCGUUACCCGCAGAAGAAGCACCGGCUAACUCCGUGCCAGCAGCCGCGGUAAUUC
rnacentral:rRNA from 1 species